AUGAACGCUGGCGGCGUGCCUAAUACAUGCAAGUCGAGCGAACAGACGAGGAGCUUGCUCCUCUGACGUUAGCGGCGGACGGGUGAGUAACACGUGGAUAACCUACCUAUAAGACUGGGAUAACUUCGGGAAACCGGAGCUAAUACCGGAUAAUAUAUUGAACCGCAUGGUUCAAUAGUGAAAGACGGUUUGCUGUCACUUAUAGAUGGAUCCGCGCCGCAUUAGCUAGUUGGUAAGGUAACGGCUUACCAAGGCAACGAUGCGUAGCCGACCUGAGAGGGUGAUCGGCCACACUGGAACUGAGACACGGUCCAGACUCCUACGGGAGGCAGCAGUAGGGAAUCUUCCGCAAUGGGCGAAAGCUUGACGGAGCAACGCCGCGUGAGUGAUGAAGGUCUUCGGAUCGUAAAACUCUGUUAUUAGGGAAGAACAAAUGUGUAAGUAACUAUGCACGUCUUGACGGUACCUAAUCAGAAAGCCACGGCUAACUACGUG
rnacentral:rRNA from 1 species